AAAUAAUUGCUGUUGAUUGGUAGGCGUUAGCAAAGCACUGCCAGCAGUACGUCUACCACGAGGGAUAAAAAGGGACGACUCCUUUCUUGUCUGUUAGCCAUGCUGAUGGCAUUCGGGAUAAACAUUUUCUGACACAAUAUCUAGUGACACAGAUGUCAGUUCCAUUUUCUGUAUAUUAGCUAUAUCGGUUGAACUGUAUUACUAAAAUGUGUUGCAGGUGGACAAUCUGGACACUUAUCAAACUAGAGAUAAUAUUUAUGCUAGCUGUCGUGUCUUCACUUCAAAAUAACACUACACACAGCUCUUCAACCGCAUCUAACUUGGUUAUGAAACGUAUUCUACGAAGUUACACGAUUGGAUUACAUCAGAUGCCUUGUAACAACAUAGGAAGGCGUUGUAAUCCCUUAAACCCAAGCGCGAGCGGCUGUUCCGGAGUUUGUCGUCCUGGACGGAGUGUGCGCAGAUGCCGAAUGUUCCAUGGCAUACCAUAUUGUGUUCCAACCAGGAUAAUUUGAGAAAGAAUCUCGAACUUAUAUCUACACUGGUAUCGAUAUAGCAAAUUAUAUAUUUCUGAUAUGGAUAGUAUGUUUCUCAGUGCAAUGAAAAUAUUUAUAUUCAUCAACAUGUUAUGAAAUGAUUUGACUCCACUAAUAUCUGUUAUGUAAACCAAUUGUACUCAUUCUGCCUAACAAUCUGUUCGAUCCUGAAUCUUUUUGAGGUGUUAGAUAUAACAAAUCUGGAGGUGUUUUAAGAUAUAAAGCCUCUGAACUUUAACCUGACUGUGGUGAGAGCGAGGUAUAAACACUCCGAUUGUGAUGACGUUCAAUGGAUAUCGUUGAAUGAAAUGCAUUUUACAUGUGAUAACUUGCUGCUAGCGUUUGGAACGUGUAUGUGGGAACAUGUGCAUGUGUUUGUGGUUUGUAUAUGGAAAAAAUGAAUUUUGUGCUAUUAAAAACAAGAUGACAUUUGCAAAAUAU